rnacentral:ncRNA from 1 species
GGGUGUGCUACUUUCCGUAGCACAGGUUUUGGGCAGGUCGGGCCGCCUCCC